UGGGGAAUUUUGGACAAUGGGGGCAACCCUGAUCCAGCAAUGCCGCGUGUGUGAAGAAGGCCUGCGGGUUGUAAAGCACUUUAAGUGUGGAGAAAGGCUUAUGUGUUAAUAGUACAUAAGAUUGAUGUUACACACAGAAUAAGCACCGGCUAACUCUGUG
rnacentral:rRNA from 1 species